AACCUGAAGUGGCAGCCCCACAACUUGAAGUUGUUGUGACUCCCAAUAGGCACAUGAUCACUAUGCCACUUAGUCUUCAAGGCAGUCCCAAUCCAGUGACAAGAAGGAUGUUGGCUACGGCGUUGGCUGAUGAGGCAACACAUGCAGCACCACAACUUGAAGUUGUUGUGACUCCCAAUAGGCACAUGAUCACCAUGCCACCGAAUCUUCAAGGCAGUCCCAAUCCUGUGACUAGAAGGUAAACACAUCAACUGUUCUUUGUAAUGUUAAUUUUUCCUUCCAAAUCUUAUAUUUCUCAACACAUGCGGGAUGUUGGCUAUGGCAUUGGCCGAUGAGGCAUCGCAGCAACCUACCCCAAUUAUGAAGGACACCACGAUGGCAUAUGACAUGGCCUCAACCUCGAAAGCUAGGAAGUUGACCCCGAAGAGAAGGAAGAUCUAGUGUUGUGCAUCAUCUUCUAUUUUCUCUAUGCUUUUGGUUGUAAUAUGUCAAACUUGGCACCCAUUACUUUGUGUUCAACAUGGCACCAAUUAUUGCCUUAUGUUUUUGGUUGUAAUAUGCCAGACUUGGCAGCCCCUACUAAUUUGUGCAACAUCACAGCCUUAUGUUA